rnacentral:tRNA from 1 species
CAAAAUUUAACAUAUAAUAAUGUAUCUCACUUACAUUGAGAAAAUAAUUAAAUUAAUUAAUUUUGA